GUUCCCUUGACCACUUCAUCAUGAGGGGUUGAUAUCUUCUUUUUUGAUGUCUUGCUGAAGUGUUUGGGGGAACUC